UACAGAGGGUGCGAGCGUUAAUCGGAAUUACUGGGCGUAAAGGGCGCGUAGGUGGUUUGAUAAGGGUGUGGUGAAAGUCCGGAGCUCAACUCCGGAUCUGCCGUGCCGACUGUCAAACUCGAGGGCUGUAGAGGCAGACGGAAUUCCGGGUGUAGCGGUGGAAUGCGUAGAGAUCCGGAGGAAGACCGGUGGCGAAGGCGGUCUGCUGGGCAGUUUCUGACACUGAGGCGCGACAGCGUGGGGAGCAAACAGG
rnacentral:rRNA from 1 species